AUUUAAAAUUUCCUAUAUCUUUUAAAAGUUCACAAUAUAUUGCAAAUAAAACAUCUGACUGACGCUAGAGGUCAGCGAACGUUCCGUAAAUUGGUCACUCGAAGUCAAUGCCACGUCGUAGAUGGGGCAAUGACCCGAGUUUUGCGCGCUAUUCAAUGCGGGUUUGAAAAUUACUAAAUCACUAAAACUACAAGAUAGGGCAAAUGGUUUUUGGCAUUGGAUUGUGUUAAGUGAGUAUAAUAAUAACGCUUUAAGUUUUUGAUAGCGUUCUGGU